GACGACGACUCCUACGGGAGGCAGCAGUGGGGAAUAUUGCACAAUGGGCGCAAGCCUGAUGCAGCCAUGCCGCGUGUAUGAAGAAGGCCUUCGGGUUGUAAAGUACUUUCAGCAGUGAGGAAGGUGGGUAUGUUAAUAGCAUAUUCAUUUGACGUUAGCUGCAGAAGAAGCACCGGCUAACUCCGUGCCAGCAGCCGCGGUAAUACGGAGGGUGCGAGCGUUAAUCGGAAUUACUGGGCGUAAAGCGCAUGCAGGUGGUUUGUUAAGUCAGAUGUGAAAGCCCGGGGCUCAACCUCGGAAUUGCAUUUGAAACUGGCAAACUAGAGUACUGUAGAGGGGGUAGAAUUUCAGGUGUAGCGGUGAAAAUGCGUAGAGAUCUGAAGGAAUACCGGUGGCGAAGGCGGCCCCCUGGACAGAUACUGACACUCAGAUGCGAAAGCGUGGGGAGCAAACAGGAUUAGAUACCCUGGUAG
rnacentral:rRNA from 1 species